rnacentral:rRNA from 1 species
CCUACGGGAGGCAGCAGUGGGGAAUCUUGCGCAAUGGGCGAAAGCCUGACGCAGCAACGCCGCGUGCGGGAUGAAGGCCUUCGGGUUGUAAACCGCUUUCAGCAGGGACGCGGUACCUGCAGAAGAAGCCCCGGCUAACUACGUGCCAGCAGCCGCGGUAAUACGUAGGGGGCGAGCGUUGUCCGGAAUCAUUGGGCGUAAAGAGCUCGUAGGCGGUUCAGUAAGUCAGGUGUGAAAGCUCCGAGCUCAACUCGGAGAGGCCACCUGAUACUGCUGGACUAGAAUCCAGUAGGGGAGUGUGGAACUCCUGGUGUAGCGGUGAAAUGCGCAGAUAUCAGGAAGAACACCAGCGGCGAAGGCGGCACUCUGGGCUGGAUUGACGCUGAGGAGCGAAAGUGUGGGUAGCAAACAGGAUUAGAUACCCUUGUAGUC